CACGUAGGGCGCAAGCGUUGUCCGGAAUUAUUGGGCGUAAAGAGCCCGUAGGUGGUUUGUUACGUCUGCUGUGAAAUCCUAGGGCUUAACCCUGGGCUUGCAGUGGAUACGGGCAGACUAGAGGUAGGUAGGGGAGAAUGGAAUUCCUGGUGUAGCGGUGAAAUGCGCAGAUAUCAGGAGGAACACCGGUGGCGAAGGCGGUUCUCUGGGCCUUACCUGACACUGAGGAGCGAAAGCGUGGGGAGCGAACAGG
rnacentral:rRNA from 1 species